ACUUUUGCUGCAUUGAAAAAUAUCCUGGCAAAUGUUCAUCUGGGCAUGUUGAAUAAAAGACCUCACAUUGAGAAAAAUCCUACUAUCUGUUUGUUUUGAAUCCUCAGUCCUCAUUUGCAAUCUGCAGCUAACCCAUCUUGUCAGAAACUUUGGAAAGUCAUGAGCAUUUGGACUGAGGUUCUACCAAGACUGAUUGGUUAUCCAGUAUUACCUGCUACAGGCCGGGCGCAGUGGCUCACGGCUGUAAUGCCAGCACUUUGGGAGGCCGAGGCAGGGGGAUCAAGAGGUCAGGAGAUUGAGACCAUCCUGGCUAACACGGUGAAACCCCGUCUCUAUUAAAAAAUACAAAAAAUUAGCCGGGCGUGGUGGCGGGCGCCAGUAGUCCCAGCUACUCCGGAGGCUGAGGCAGGAGAACGGCGUGAACCCGGAAGGCGGAGCUUGCAGUGAGCCAAGAUCGCGCCACUGCACUCCAGCCUGUGUGACAGAGCAAGAUUCCAUCUCAAAACAAAACAAAACAAAACAAACAAACAAAAAAAAGAAAAAACCUGCCA
rnacentral:lncRNA from 10 species